UACGAAGGGGGCUAGCGUUGUUCGGAUUUACUGGGCGUAAAGGGCGCGUAGGCGGACAUUUAAGUCAGGGGUGAAAUGCCAAGGCUCAACCUUGGAACGGCCUUUGAUACUGGGUGUCUGGAGUUCGGGAGAGGUGAGUGGAAUUCCGAGUGUAGAGGUGAAAUUCGUAGAUAUUCGGAGGAACACCAGAAGCGAAGGCGGCUCACUGGCCCGAGACUGACGCUGAGGCGCGAAAGCGUGGGGAGCAAACAGG
rnacentral:rRNA from 1 species